GAAGCGAAAAAGGAUGUAAAGUAAAAAAAAGAGGCUAAGAGUGCGAGAAAAAGGAAGGAGACAAGCACACGCACCGUGUUGACCACCGCGCGUUCGCCGUUUGGGACGAGAAGAGGGGGCACCUCUGUUCACGAGCACGAUCAGACGUAUACGCAGUACACGUAAAACUACGCGCGGCAACGACACACACGACCAGUGCACGCGUCUUCGCGGCGGCCCCGUGUUUUCCACCGUGCGCAGCGUGUCGAUGCUGGCUUUUCCUUUCUCGGCAUGGACGCCACGGCAGCCACGCCAAGACGAACGAAAAAGGAAGGAGAAGCGGCGGAUCGAGCGUGUGGAUCGUACGCAGCGAACGACCGAAGCUCGAAGCCGAGCGAGCCGAAGAUCCGUGGAGCAAACGGUGCUGCCUAUCGGAUGGCACUGCGUUCAGCGCCGCGGUGCGCGACCCCCGUCGGCCUUCAUCGUCUUUCCUCGUCGCGCCUCGUCUCGUCUCGGUGGCGCUCGUCGCUUUUCGCCCCUUUCCGUCCCUCGAGUUUCUGCCGCGUCUCGCGCGCCUGUCCCUCACCUCUAUGUGUAGUGUGUACUUACUACCUUUACUCCUCCCUACACAUCCGUCUUGUUUCUGUUCUCUUUCUCCUCUCUCUUGUUCUCUUCCAUCUCAUCGCUCCCUAACCCUUUCUUUCGCAUGAGACACCCUCUCUUUCUUUCUUUCGUCACCGUUGCAGCCUCUUUCGAUUCUCCAUAUCGCCGCCAUCGCUACUGUCACCACUACCGCCGUCACGGCUACCACCGCCACCGCCGCCACAGCCGCCGCCGAUUCCAACACCGCUACCGCUACCGCCACCACCACACUAUCGUCACACAUCUGCUGUCGUCGCCGCAGUCGCCGUCGCAGUCAUAGUUGACGAGUGCUGUCGCGAAAAUCGUCUGGUUUCUUGGCAGUCGCUAGCGCGAGUCAACCCAACGACUCGAUUACUCGCUACUCAAUCGGACGAAUCGUGCUCUCUCUCGUUAUAUUACACCUUCUUUGAUCUUGCCGUGAUAGGUUGUCAGGGUCAGUUUGUUUUAGUUUGAGGAAAUUUAGUUAUGAAGCAUAUACCUUGUUUUGGCGGAUGAUUCUACUAGAUAGAUACCUUGAUUGAUACGAUUGAUUAGUGUCAUUUGGAAAUAGGCUUUCAAACUUGAGAAAGCUCUCAGUGGAAUCUCAUUUUGUAAAUGAGCAACGAGAACAGAUAGUAUACUAAUAAAUUUCGCACUGUUUUUAUGUUCAUCCGAUCGAAUUAUGUUCGUUAGUUAAUUCAUAAUCCGAGAAGCUUAUUAAUUAUUCUAUUCACUAAGAUUAGCUUGAGCGUAAUGAUUCAUGAUGAAGCUAUAAUAACUUUUUUUCAUGAUAAACGUAAUCUAUGUUACAAGUGGAACUUGUAUUUAGUAACGUAUCGCGCCAGUGUAAUACCACAGAAAACAACAUUUUUUUCUAAUAUGUAAUUUCUUUAAAUAAUGUUUCUCCUAAUAGCUUGAAAAUUUUCGAUAGAACGGAUGCUGUAACAAAAGUAUACUAACUUCAUACAGAUGCAACAACAUAACUUCCUUAAAAUUCCUUACAAGUCCUUAUAUAUUAUAACCAUACACUUAUAAUAAAAAUCGUGUCCUUUGAAAAAUUGUCGAGAAAUCAUGAAGUUAUUGAAGAUUUAUGAAAUUAUGAAAUUAAAAGAAAACCACGUGGAUCUUAUGCUAACAAGAAUCCAUUGAUAGUGCAUUGACCACUGCGAUCCGUGGCACGCACCAACAAUGUCCCCUAGACAAUCGGGCAGCAGAACCCGAGAUUCUCCAAUACAGAUGAACCUAUGCAUAUUUGGCACAUCACACCCGGCACGUUCCGUUGUGUCACCCUUUCGCUCUCAAGCACUGCGCAGCAGACGUAACAUAGAGUACAUGCCGCUCGUACAAGCAAAUUUUGAUACGCUACUCCUAAUCUUCGCUCCAAAAUCCAAUCACUUACAAAGGAAAAUUUAAAUGUGAUAUUUGACAUUUUUAAAAAUUGGAAAGAAGCAGUGAUAAAAGAAAUUAAAAGCUGUAGACAUAUAUUGAUCUGAAGCGAGGAAUUGAUACACGCUUGGUCAGUGAUAAUAAUUCACUGGAAAGAUUAAUCGUGGAAUGUCAGAAGCGGCGCGAUAUCCAUUCUCGAGUUCUGUAUUGAUGGCGGAAACCAGUUCCGUGUCUUACUUGGCCUUCCCAACCCCUUAGCUACAUGGCGGUAUCGACGUUAUCGAACGCUGCUCCUUAUUUAGAGAAAAGGACGUAAAAGCUUGAAAUACUAAAGUCGACUGAUUUUAAUACUUCGCCAUGUAGAACAAUAUUUAUUUGAAUUUUGACAAAAUAAAUUGAAACUUCAUAGGAGAUUUUGCGAUGUGAAAAGAGAACAUUCCAAAUCUGUUGAUCUUAAUGAAAUUUAUAUGGAAGACAGGCACAGAUAAUUCAAAUCAUCAAUACGUAAACAUGUAUGUCAAUUAUAUUUGGUUAUCACACUGAACACCCAGAGAAGAAUUAAUCUAUUUUCUCAUAAAUAAGAAGCAUAGAUCAAAAUAUAAAAAAUAUUUGUAAAAUCGAAUGAAGAAAUGUUCCAGAACUGGACAAACAUGUGACCCGAAAGCUUCGAUUCUCCGAUGAUCCCAUAACACAUUCGAUCCUGCAAUCCUCGAAUCGUUUCAUAUACACCAUAAAAUGGUAACCGAGUGCUUGUUCAGGCUUCCGUGUUACCAUUCUUUGCAACCCACCUUUCGUAUCGUUCUCCGUCUUCUAACCACGUGACUCAGCCUCGUCAUCAUCGUCGCAGACUCUUGCCAAACGUCUCGCGCAGUUGUUAGCUUUGUCCUGCACGAUGAAUAAGCCUUAUCUACUUGCAAGAUAAGGGGUCUUCGAUCUCGAGCCAGCGUACCGUAAACAGAGAGUGCUCGCAUAACGAGAAAGAUCGGUUGAACACGGUCGUUGCUAGUCAUUGGCCCUGAAGAACGUCGAUCCGAGAAUGAAAUCUCGUUGGCGAAAGGCGAAGCGCGUAGGUUGAUAGGCGCAUUGAGAUACGAACAUUCAGCGGUGGAAUGGCAGAGGAUGGAGAAAGGAAGGGAAGGAAAUGCAAAAAUGCAAGUUUUACGGACCGCUUGAACAGCGGCAUUCCACGGAUAUACAUACUUGGAACCGGACACCGAGUUCGUGGAACUGGGACGAUCACUCGAGAACUAUACUAUGGUAUUUAAAGAAAGGCAUACCGAGCAGCACCCCGUUUACCGUUACCAUAAACCUCCGCCGACCUUUUGCGCGUCACUUACACGGUCAGACAAGUUGGAUUACCGGAGCUCACGCUGUUACAAUCGAGAUUUCAUGGUUAAACCUUUUGGAUUUUUACUUAAUCCUCCGCCUAUUUUUCACUAGCACGGUCAACAUUAUGGAAUUCUUCGAAUCCCUGGUCUGACUUCUUAUUGUUUUGGGACUUUAAAAGGACUUGAAGAAAUUCUUACUUAUUACGGUCGCUAACUUAUUAUACAAGUAAUACUUUGGCCAGAUGUUCAAACCUUUCUGGAAUAAAAAGAUUAAAGUUUGAUAGAAAGUUGUGGAAAAACGGGAAUUUGUUUGAAAGAUACGUUGAAUUUUGUAUUGAAGAAACACAUCAUUUCAAAAAUUAGGAUCAAGUUUUUCAAAUUUUAACGUCCGUUAUAAUGAUAAAAUUUAGCAAAACGUAUGUCUUCAAAUAGGAUUGAUGCGUGUGUUACUUACAUUUUACAAGAAACGAUUGCUUGUUGAGGACUAUAUAACAGUAAACUGUUUGCUAUACGAUUCUGUCCAAGAAUGGCGUUUAACGAGGAGUUAGUGGAUGCAAGGCGAAUUCCGAUAAACGGCCCCAGUGCGAUUCGCUUCGCGUUGUUUUUCACCGUAAUCCUUCUCGCUUGUAAUCCUCUUAUCCCUUCGUGAGACGAAGAGUCGCGUCGAUAGUCACGUAAAUCGUUGGAUUCGCGGCUAACGAAGCGCCAAUAUUUUCGUCGGCUGGAGAUUAAGCAUAUCGGUAGUGGCUAUCAAAAACCAAUGAAAUGUUUUCCCCGUAAAUUCUUUCACAACGAACACGCACACUACAGUUCAUAAUUAUCCGAACGACUUUAAAAGUCGAUGGAAAUCGCUUGAAUAAUUGAAGGAUUCGCUGCAUCAUUUUUAAUUUCCUCCCGACAGAUUUCAAUUUUUUAUAAUGAUAUAUUCGUCGUAUUAAACGAUCGACGAACCUUCAUAAAAGUUGUUUAAUUUUCAUUCAACGUUAAGUAAGUGAUAUAGAUUACAGAUCGUUGCUCGUAAUAAAAAUUCGACAAAUUUAACAAGCAUAGUUUUCUCAUUACGAGUCUCUCGAUUCUAAAUGAUACUGUAUCUGUCGAAAUCAUUUUACCAACCAACCUAUGCUGACAAGUUCGUCGCUACCAAACAACAUUUCCACAGAGAAAACCUCGGACCAGUGUAGGCAAACGAAAAGAUUUUUCACAGAAGAAAGGGGAAAGAAUUAAGAGACGCGGAGAACAGGUUGGUGGAUCGUGAGAUACGAAGAAACACCGUGAACGGGGUAGAGAAUUUCGUGGCGACGAAAAGAAUGUGGACAAAGCUCAAGGGAGGAGAAGAAGAAAGGAUGGAACGGCAGGGGGAGAAAGACUAUGAUGAGAUGCGAGGCGCGAUGAGAAGGAACAAACGUAGUAAGAGGAGGUGAAGCAGAGAAACGGGACAGACGUUUAAAAGAACCUCAAAGAGCAUAAAGACCAAGUGAUAAUCGGUCAGAGACCCUCCACCGGGGCCAGACGGCUAUACACUCGGUUGGAGUGCCAGGGCAGACAACGGACAGACGUACGGACGUGCACAGGAACGAACGGACAGACCGAAGCAACCAGAACACAUUGUGAUGGCCUGCUACACAGGCCUAUGCUCUCUUUCUUCCUCUUCCUUUUUCUUCAUUCUUUUCCUUCUUCUUCUCCCCCCCUGCCCCUCCUGUUUUCUCCUUCUUCUCUCUGGUUCGUUCUUCUAGUACACUCCAGGCCAUUGCCAUUCACCGGGCUGUCUCCUCUCUCAUUUUCCAAGCCCGUGGCCUCCUCUCUCCCUCUUUUUCUCUUUUCUUCGAGCCUGCUCGUCUCUUUCCUUGCGUUGCCUGACCCCUUUGCUCUGUACAUUUUUUCUCUUUUCCCCUUUUUCUUUCACGAGUGAGUGAAGCUUUACUUAUUUCUCGCCCUCUUUGCUCGCUUCUUUCCUCGUCUUUCCAUUUCGACCCUGUCCUCUGCUGGUACUCGUAGUUACCACUCUUUCAUUGGAGAAUAUAUUUUAUAAAUAAUAAAGCGAAACAUGGUUGGAAUAAUGCGCGAGUUCUGUCUUUUAUUUUCAUUUCUCGUGGCUUAGAAAACUCUUGGUCGGCUUUUGGAUUAUGCGUAUACGUAUGUAGAUCGCGGGAUGUGGUAAUUUGUAUCGAGAGUUCGUCCUUGUAUCGAAACAAAUUUUGAAUCGCUCUACGUCUUCUCCAAACUCUUCAUACUUUUGAAAAAAGAUCGAUAGUUAAAUCAAUACUCUAUGUCUAUAAAAUGUCUCAGUGUCAGAAAAGACCUAAAAUUCCAUCACUAUUUAACCAACACCUUUUUCCUAACACCUAUCGUACUUUGUACUUGAAAAAGGAUAAUUACAUGUGCAAAUCGAUACAUAUCGAUAUCUAGUUAGUUCGUCUACCGUUGGAACGAAUUCUCAGCGGUUCUAUAUUGUCUGAAUAUCCUCCCUGGAUUUCCGAAAAAAACCUUGAGGCCGCAUGACGCAUAAAUGCAUCGCAUACUUGAUCUACACCGUAUAGCCCGUCUGCGUUAGAGCGAUUCGACCCGCUUACGUGCAUGACUUCUUUUUCAUCGAAUCGGCCGCGAGCUACGUUCUGCUCCGUCAGUCGGCCCCGAUCUACAGACCGCCUGCCUGUGUCCGCGCAUUGUCCAAAGAAGCCCACCAUCCCACAGCUAUCCAUACUCUCGCGAUCGUGUUUCUACAAAACGCGCCGUCUUGUCUGAGAACGCAGGGCCAGCGCAGCCUUGAUCGUCGCGCGCGAGAGGAAUACGCUUAAAGGUAGUUCUCUUCAGCAGAACGAGCGUCCUUCGAAUCUCUACGAACCUUGGGAAACGUCCAGAAGACAUUCAGUCUAGGGAAUAUAGGUUUUCGGUACAAGCUUUCACCAACAAGACGAAUCUCUUAUAAAACGUAAUUCUUAAUCUACAGUUAUUCCUUUCUAUUUUCAUUGAAAAAUAUUUAAAACCAGAUGUCGAAGAAUACCAGAGAAAUUUCACGAAUCAUUGAAAAGCCUAGAACACUACAAAAACUGGUAUUCAACGGCCUAAUUUGCCUAGAAAGUAUAAAAAAAUACACCAUCGACUGUAGAGGGUUAGUUCUAAAUAUUUCACGAACUCGGGAAAUUGGCGAAUUCUUGCACGAUGUAAAAAAAGCUACUCAAACAAUGUCCUGAAAUUAUUCAACGAACAGCUCUUUCCAACCAAUAGCCUACGUUUCUUUUAUUAAUGAUCCGUCAUUUAGUCUGGUUUCGUGCAACCUGUCGUAUCUGGUCGGACGCGUCAUACCGCAUUGGAAACGAGCCAUGGCGCAUCACGAAUCUUCGCCCUGUUAUUAUUCCAUCAAAUACCAGAAGGCAGCCGAGGGCGUGUAAGGGACGAGAGCGAAAAGGAAGAACCGAAAGUAGAAGACGGAGGACGAUGAAACUGGAUGAGAAAGCUGAGGCUGCAGGCAAGCAAGGGCUUCUUCUCUCCUCGAGAGAGCAGCCUGAAUUUUUGCGGCUGUUUUUUACAGUUACACCUGCCGUUCCCGAACCCACUGAUCGCAAACGUCACGCACCACGUCGUAUCGCUUCGUACUUCAUGCGUGGAACAUGAGGACGGGCCUUGUAUACGAAUAUAUUUACGUGGGGUGGUUGGCUAGCGGGAGCCAAAAAGGAAAAAUGCGCAGAGCAGAGGAUGGCCAGAACUGAAAAAAGGUGCAGACUAAAAGAGAAACCGACCACCGCCACGAAAGGGAAUAUACUUCGUGACGAACCAAACCCGGAUGAAAUUUAUACGCGACCAGCAUCGAUGCUGCUAGCCCUUCGAAUCACCCAUAUCGAACACGUGGCUCGGGAUCUACACGAAAAACUUGCGCUCGACACUCGUACGGGACAGGAUUUUUAUUCAAGAUCGCGAUCCUGAAUGAUGAAUGUCGUGGAACUCGAUGGCUUGAAUGAAGAUUUUGUAAAAACAUUGCGAAAGAAAAUUGGCUUGGGAUCAGAGAAUAAGAGAUGACUACCGACUACUCCUGAUUUUAGGCAACACCUACUUUCAUCGAAGCAAGUGAUGAGGAUCGUAAAAUAGAAACAAAUGGAAUAUAAAGAUGUUAGAAUAAAUAGGCAAGUUUGGCUUGCACGAUUUAACUGUUCAUAGCUGUGAAAUGAUUAGAACGAUAAAAAUUUGAAUUUAGUUAUUCUAUAGAAGAAUAAGAAUUUAAUUAGCUAUAGUCUAUUACAUAAAAUACGAUCAUUUCGCAUAGAGUCAUAAUUUACAGAUUUCUUGUUUUUCUUUUUUCGUAGCUUCACACUAUUUAACUAUCGAGAGAUUAUAUUCAUAUGUAGGUAACUAUAAUAUAAUAAAUGUUCGUCAAACUCGAAUGGUCCUAUCGAUCGACUUUGGCGUUUUUCACCUGACUACUCGUGCCAAAGAACCAACGCUAGCUCUUUCCACCCUUGCGCGAGUAGUAGGUACUCGUGUGCCGUUGUUAUCUGUUAAUAACUGGAAUGUUUGCAAGCUCUUUCCAAGUGUUGCGACUUGGCGCGGACAAAUAACGCGUCGCUCUUUGUGCACGUCAUCCGACCACCGCCUACCUUUUUUCCUUUCUGCGAGUGCAAUUUCUCGCGCAUCGCUGGUACACCUGUUGAAUCUUCCUCUUUACGAGUAGAUGCCACGCGAAUUACGGGCUCGCGUGAAAUCGUCCGGUUUGUCGAUCAUCCACCAUGUUUCUUGUUUCGUACAGUCGAUGAAAGGAAUAUAGAACGUUCUUGAAUUGGAACACCCAUUGGAUACUGAUUAAUGCAAAGAACACCCAGUGUGUAAUUGACAUUCUUAAUUAAAAUGACCAAUUCGAAAUUUUCUAUACUUCUACAGAAUUAAAGCAUUUUUGGACAUUUAAAUGAUUUUUCGUAAACUAUAUUAUACGCACAAAUUCG